GAUGAAGAACGUAGCGAAAUGCGAUAAGUAAUGUGAAUUGCAGAAUUCAGUGAAUCAUCGAAUCUUUGAACGCACCUUGCGCCCUUUGGCAUUCCGAAGGGCAUGCCUGUUUGAGUAUCAUGAACACCUCAACUCUUCAUGGUUUUCCAUGAUGAGCUUGGACUUUGGGGGUCUUGCUGGCCUGCGGUCGGCUCCUCUCAAAUGAAUCAGCUUACCAGUGUUUGGUGGGCAUCACAGGUGUGAUAACUAUCUGCGCUUGUGGUUUUCCACCAAGUAACCUUCAGCAGUGGAGGUUCACUGGAGCUCACAGACGUCUCUCCUCAGUGAGGACAGCCCUUUGAAUGUUUGAUCUCAAAUCAGGGAGGACUACCCGCUGAACUUAAGCAUAUCAAUAAGCGGAGGA
rnacentral:misc_RNA from 1 species